AUGAACGCUAGCUACAGGCUUAACACAUGCAAGUCGAGGGGCAGCAUGGUCUUAGCUUGCUAAGGCCGAUGGCGACCGGCGCACGGGUGAGUAACACGUAUCCAACCUGCCGUCUACUCUUGGACAGCCUUCUGAAAGGAAGAUUAAUACAAGAUGGCAUCAUGAGUCCGCAUGUUCACAUGAUUAAAGGUAUUCCGGUAGACGAUGGGGAUGCGUUCCAUUAGAUAGUAGGCGGGGUAACGGCCCACCUAGUCUUCGAUGGAUAGGGGUUCUGAGAGGAAGGUCCCCCACAUUGGAACUGAGACACGGUCCAAACUCCUACGGGAGGCAGCAGUGAGGAAUAUUGGUCAAUGGGCGCAGGCCUGAACCAGCCAAGUAGCGUGAAGGAUGACUGCCCUAUGGGUUGUAAACUUCUUUUAUAAAGGAAUAAAGUCGGGUAUGGAUACCCGUUUGCAUGUACUUUAUGAAUAAGGAUCGGCUAACUCCGUGCCAGCAGCCGCGGUAAUACGGAGGAUCCGAGCGUUAUCCGGAUUUAUUGGGUUUAAAGGGAGCGUAGAUGGAUGUUUAAGUCAGUUGUGAAAGUUUGCGGCUCAACCGUAAAAUUGCAGUUGAUACUGGAUAUCUUGAGUGCAGUUGAGGCAGGCGGAAUUCGUGGUGUAGCGGUGAAAUGCUUAGAUAUCACGAAGAACUCCGAUUGCGAAGGCAGCCUGCUAAGCUGCAACUGACAUUGAGGCUCGAAAGUGUGGGUAUCAAACAGGAUUAGAUACCCUGGUAGUCCACACGGUAAACGAUGAAUACUCGCUGUUUGCGAUAUACAGCAAGCGGCCAAGCGAAAGCGUUAAGUAUUCCACCUGGGGAGUACGCCGGCAACGGUGAAACUCAAAGGAAUUGACGGGGGCCCGCACAAGCGGAGGAACAUGUGGUUUAAUUCGAUGAUACGCGAGGAACCUUACCCGGGCUUAAAUUGCAGAUGAAUUACGGUGAAAGCCGUAAGCCGCAAGGCAUCUGUGAAGGUGCUGCAUGGUUGUCGUCAGCUCGUGCCGUGAGGUGUCGGCUUAAGUGCCAUAACGAGCGCAACCCUUGUUGUCAGUUACUAACAGGUUCCGCUGAGGACUCUGACAAGACUGCCAUCGUAAGAUGUGAGGAAGGUGGGGAUGACGUCAAAUCAGCACGGCCCUUACGUCCGGGGCUACACACGUGUUACAAUGGGGGGGUACAGAGGGCCGCUACCACGCGAGUGGAUGCCAAUCCCAAAAACCUCUCUCAGUUCGGACUGGAGUCUGCAACCCGACUCCACGAAGCUGGAUUCGCUAGUAAUCGCGCAUCAGCCACGGCGCGGUGAAUACGUUCCCGGGCCUUGUACACACCGCCCGUCAAGCCAUGGGAGCCGGGGGUACCUGAAGUGCGUAACCGCGAGGAGCGCCCUAGGGUAAAACUGGUGACUGGGGCU
rnacentral:rRNA from 1 species